UCCAUGUUGGUCACGCUGGUCUCAAACUCCCGACCUCAGGUGAUGUGCCUACCUCGGCCUCCCAAAGUGCUGGGAUUACAGGCGUGAGCCACUGUGCCCGGCCAAAUGCUCUAUUUUUAGUUUACAAAUGUACAUGAUGUUCAGAAAAUAUUUUCAGUCAUAUUUUAACAGUUGGCUAGCAACAGAAAAGGAAAAUAUCUGAGUCUAGCUCUGCAUUAAGUCAGUUCAAUGAACGCGUACUACUUGAAAAAGCAGCCGGGCAGGGUGGCUCACGCCUGUAAUCCCAGCACUUUGGGAGGCCGAGGCGGCUGGAUCACCUGAGGUCAGGAGUUCGAGACCAGCCUGGCCAACAUGGUGAAACCCCGUCUCUACUAAAAUUACAAAAAUUAGCUGGGUGUGGUGGCAGGCGCCUGUAAUUCCAGCUACUCGGGAGGCUGAGGCAGGAGAAUCGCUUGAACCCGAGAGGUGGAGGCUGCAGUGAGCCAAGAUUGAGCCAUGGCACUCCAGCCUGGGGACAAGAGAGACUUCGUCUCAAAAAAAAAAAAAAAACAUACUUUUUGAAAAUUAGUGGUCUGUAAUUGUAAUCUUGCAGUAGUUGUUUAUUGAAUACUAGCAUAAGUAAGGAUUGAAUGGGAUAGUAAAGGUUGUCUUUGCCCUUGAGGAACUCAGGCUCAUUGAGGGGGGUACCGUUCCUUGAAUGUUUCCUUUUUUUCUGCAGCAAAUACACACAUUCAAAACAUCUACUGCACACAAGCAAACUCAAAGAGGACCAGCCUGGCUGAGAGGAGUUGACCAUCCCCCUCAGGACUGACUUCCUUUCCUUCAACAUUAUUAUAUAAUUAAAGUCCUAGACUAUAUAGAAGUGACAGGCCAAAAUUGACCUUUCUCAAGAUUCUCUUAGUUUACAAACUGAGGUCUGUCAUCCUCUGGUCAUUGAAGUGAAGUCUGCUUAGGACAUAUUGUCCUGUAAAUAGGAUUGACAUUCCCUGGAGGCCCUCUCAAGAAUCUCUCUGAGCUUCCCUUUCCAUUUCUGACCAUUUAGAUGCUUACAAGCUGCUUUUCUCUGACUUCUUCAGCUCCAACUGCUCCUUUCCAUUACCCUAAAGCUGUGGAUCAUAAAGAGUGUUCUCCAGACCAGCAGUAUCUGCACCACCUGGAUCUUGUUAGAAAUGCAGAUUUUCGAACCCCACCCAUGAGCUACUGAAACAGAACUCUGAAGGUGAGGCCUAGAAACCGGUUUUAACCAAUGUGCCAAGUGAUUCUAAUGCCUGCUAUCAAUCAUUUGGGAACCAUUGUCCUAAACUCAGCUGCUGCUUCUGCUUCAUCUCCAGUUGAUUCAGUUUCCUUAAUUGUUACCAUUAUAAAAGCAAAAUAAAGCAAAACAAGACAUUUGCCUAUAUUAUUAAUCACAAAUAAGUUCCCUACCCUGUGGGGUCACAAUUUGGGCUUUGGAUAUCUAAUUCUGCAUCAAGUACAUAUCUCUGUCUUCAUAAUCUCAACAAAUUAUUAGAUAUAUCAGUAACUUCCAUAUAUGCUCUCAUUUUGUAGUUGCAGUGUCACUAUUUCCAUUUAAUGGAUAGGGAAAUAGGGGCUCAGGAAAGAGAAGUGUAUUAUCCAAGACGAAAGUAACAUGGGCUGCAUUCAAUUAGGGUUUCUCAUUUCCAGCUAAGACACUUUGCACCAUAUUGAAGCAGCUUGUAACUAAAUUUGCCAUAAAAAUAUAUCUAAAAUCCUAAUUAAGUUUGAAUAGCUUGGUCUUAGUUGAAAGUUAUUCCUAAUUCAUUCACAAGUAGCUUUUAAAAGGGAUAUGUUUAUGUUAAACAAUAGAAGGUCUCCAAAUCCUAUCAGAUAACUGUAUCCUGUCUUUAAAAAUGUAAUUUUUUAUAUCUACUGCCUGAAUUAAAUUGCUUAGUUGUACUUUCCAGAGAAAUAGAAUGGACCAGAGCAGUUCAAAUAUUUUAAUAUUCUUCUGGAGUUUGGCUGCUGAGAUGUAAAGAACUAUUGAUAUCACUAAUAAAUAAAUAAUGUAUAUUUAUUGAGGUUUAGUCAAUAGAGCGAUUACUUAUAAGAGGCAUGUAGUACUUAAUUAUCAUCCUCUUCACCAAACUCCAACUUAACCUUGGACAAUACAAUUAAGAGUUGUGUUCAGAUGGCUUUAAAAACAGGUGCAUGGUACAACAUGCUCUUGUUGUUAACCAUUUUGCUUAAUGGCCAAACUUCUCUUGGGUCAGUUUUGAUAACUCCUCUGCAAUUUCAUCAACAAUGAGGGAAAUGUAAUUUCAAGGUGAGCAUUGAGCACUGAGUAUAUUAGGCAAGAGUGGGGCUUGCUUAUUUUUGGCCUUGCAGCUCCCAGAAAUAGAAUGUUUACAAGGUGUAAUCAUCUUAUAUUUCAGUACCUUGUUUUUCCAGAAUUGUUUUCUUUUCCCAGAAAUUUUUUACUCUCUAUUUAUUUGUAUUUAGCUUUUCUUUACUAAAGUAUAACUCUAUCAGAGCAGAAGAUUGUGUCUUCUUCAUCUUUAUAUCUUACAUUCUUAGCAUGGUAGAUGUUUAAUUGGAAUGUGAUUUCAGAGAGUGGCUGUGUUCCAGUCUUGAUCCAAUAUUGAUGAACUGAAUGUGUUAGUCUAUUAUAAGCAAAGAUUUUCAGGUCAAACUUGGUUUGAAAUACAGACUGUAUGUUCCUCACAGAAAAUGUGACUUUGAGCAACCAAGUCUGCUUAAAGUCAGCUAUUAAAAGUAUGUAUUUCAUGCAUCUAGUUUUUUCUUAAUAUAUUUUAUAAAGUCUUUAAAGUGAUAUGUGGAAGAAUGUGGUAAAGCACUUUAGUUAGAGCAAAAAGGUUGUUUUCCCUAUCAGCCCAAAAUACCAUAUGUCUAGAAUCAUUAGGAAUUAACUGUAACAUAGUGGACAAGCAUUAUUACUAUGUGCUAGUGUUUCAUGACUUCCUCAGAUUAUUCAAAUGGUAUCCAAUCUACUUGGUCCAAUUCAACUCUUCUUUUCUUCCACAAACCUUUCACUUAUUUUACAUGGAUGACUUUUGUUUCUCAACUUUUACACAAUUACAGUUUCAUAAUAGAAUUUGACAUUGAUUUUAUACUGCCUACAAUAUUGUUUAUUUAAUGUAAUUCUUAGCAUAAAAAUAAUAAAAAUGAGCAAGUCAGCUUCUAUGUAUUGAAAGCAUAUUGUGAAAAACACUUCAUAGAUAUCUCAUUUCACCUUCAUGAUAAUUCUGUAAGUUGUCUUAUUAUAUUCAUUUUGUAUAUGAGUAAAUUGUGGCUUAGAGAGCUGAAGUGACUUGCCUAAAUUAAACGGCUAGUAAAUAACAGAACUGGGACUUGACGUCAGAUCUAUUUGAUUUCAAAGGGUGCAUCUUUAACCAGCAUACAAAGGUGUGGGGUCAUUCAGGUCAGAGCCUUUGUCUCUGGUUUCUCUUAAGACUGGUGAAAGCAGGAGCAUAUGAGGUUUUUUUUUUUUUCUUUUUCUUUUUUUAAAGUAUUAUCACAGGCAGUGAUCAUAACUAGAUAAUUAGCCUGAGAAAAUAUUACUUUUGUAACAGUGAUAGCCUAAAUAAAAUAGAAAUGUGAUUCCAUUGUAAUAAUAAACAGAGUACCAAACAUA